UACGGAGGGUGCGAGCGUUGUCCGGAAUCACCGGGCGUAAAGGGCGCGUAGGCGGCCUGAUAAGUAGGGGGUGAAAUCCUGCGGCUUAACCGCAGGGCUGCCUUCUAAACUGUCAGGCUCGAGCACAGUAGAGGCAGGUGGAAUUCCCGGUGUAGCGGUGGAAUGCGUAGAGAUCGGGAAGAACAUCAGUGGCGAAGGCGGCCUGCUGGGCUGUUGCUGACGCUGAGGCGCGACAGCGUGGGGAGCAAACAGG
rnacentral:rRNA from 1 species